CUACGGGUUGCUGCAGGCGCGAAACCUUUACAAUGCACGCAAGUGUGAUAAGGGGAUCCUAAGUGCUCAUGCAAUGCAUGGGCUUUUGCCAAGAGUAAAUAUCUUGGAGAAUAAGUGGUGGGUAAGACUGGUGCCAGCCGCCGCGGUAACACCAGCGCCACGAGUGGCAUCCACGUUUAUUGGGCCUAAAGCGUCCGUAGCCGGUUAGGCAAAUCUCUUGUGAAAUCGUCAGGCUUAACCUGACGGCGCGCUUGAGACACUACCUGACUUGAGACCGGGAGGAGUCAGAGGUAUUCCAGGGGGAGCGGUAAAAUGUGAUAAUCCCUGGAGGAUCACCUAUGGCGAAGGCAUCUGACCAGAACGGAUCUGACGGUGAGGGACGAAGGCUAGGGGAGCGAUCCGGAUUAGAUACCCGCGUAGUC
rnacentral:rRNA from 1 species